rnacentral:misc_RNA from 1 species
GAUGAAGAACGUAGCGGAAUGCGAUAAGUAAUGUGAAUUGCAGAAUUCAGUGAAUCAUCGAAUCUUUGAACGCACAUUGCGCCCGCCAGUAUUCUGGCGGGCAUGCCUGUUCGAGCGUCAUUUCAACCCUCAAGCCCCCGGGCUUGGUGUUGGGGAUCGGCGUGCCCUCGCGGCGCGCCGUCCCCUAAAUCUAGUGGCGGUCUCGCUGUAGCUUCCUCUGCGUAGUAGCAACACUCGCACUGGAUCGCAGCGCGGCCACGCCGUUAAACCCCCCACUUCUGAAAGUUUGACCUCGGAUCAGGUAGGAAUACCCGCUGAACUUAAGCAUAUCAAUAAGCGGAGGA